rnacentral:rRNA from 1 species
AAUGAACGCUGGCGGCAGGCCUAACACAUGCAAGUCGAACGGUAACAGGAAGACGCUUGCUUCUUUGCUGACGAGUGGCGGACGGGCGAGUAAUGUCUGGGAAAUUGCCUGAUGGAGGGGGAUAACUACUGGAAACGGGAGCUAAUACCGCAUAACGUCGCAAGACCAAAGAGGGGGAGUUGCGGGCCUCUUGUCAUCGGAUAUGAGCAUAUGAGAGUAGCUAGUAGGUGGGGUAACGGCUCACCUAGGCGACGAUCCCUAGCUGGUCUGAGAGGAUGACCAGCCACACUGGAACUGAGACACGGUCCAGACUCCGACGGGAGGCAGCAGUGGGGAAUAUUGCGCAAUGGGCGCAAGCCUGAUGCAGCCAUACCGCGUGUAUGAAGAAGGCCUUCGGGUUGUAAAGUGCUUUCAGCGGGGAGGAAGGGAAUAAAGUUAAUACCUUUGCUCAUUGACGUUACCCGCAGAAGAAGCACCGGCUAACUCCGUG